AGAGUUUGAUCCUGGCUCAGGAUGAACGCUGGCGGCGUGCCUAACACAUGCAAGUCGAACGUGAGGGGGUACUUGUAUCCCUGAAAGUGGCGAACGGGUGAGUAACACGUGGGUGACCUACCUCAAAGAAGGGGAUAACUACUGGAAACGGUGGCUAAUACCCUAUGGUUCUGACGACUGUGGAGGUUGUCAGAUAAAAGCUCCGGCGCUUUGAGAGGGGCCUGCGUCCGAUUAGGUAGUUGGUGGGGUAAAGGCCUACCAAGCCGAUGAUCGGUAGCUGGUCUGAGAGGACGAUCAGUCACACUGGAACUGAGACACGGUCCAGACUCCUACGGGGGGCAGCAGUGAGGAAUAUUGCACAAUGGGGGCAACCCUGACGCAGCAACGCCGCGUGGAGGAUGAAGGCCUUCGGGUCGUAAACUCCUUUUCUGGGGGAAGAGGAAGGACGGUACCCCAGGAAUAAGUCACGGCUAACUACGUGCCAGCAGCCGCGGUAAUACGUAGGUGGCAAGCGUUAUCCGGAAUUACUGGGCGUAAAGCGCGCGCAGGCGGCUGAAUAAGUCUGACGUGAAAGCUCCUGGCUUAACUGGGAGAGGUCGUUGGAAACUGUUCAGCUUGAGGCAGUGAGAGGGGGUGCGGAAUUCCCGGUGUAGUGGUGGAAUGCGUAGAUAUCU
rnacentral:rRNA from 1 species